GCUGGCGGCGUGCCUAAUACAUGCAAGUAGAACGCUGAAGGAGGAGCUUGCUCUUCUGGAUGAGUUGCGAACGGGUGAGUAACGCGUAGGUAACCUGCCUGGUAGCGGGGGAUAACUAUUGGAAACGAUAGCUAAUACCGCAUAAUAGUAGUUGUUGCAUGGCAACUGUUUGAAAAGGUGCAAUUGCAUCACUACCAGAUGGACCUGCGUUGUAUUAGCUAGUUGGUGGGGUAACGGCUCACCAAGGCGACGAUACAUAGCCGACCUGAGAGGGUGAUCGGCCACACUGGGACUGAGACACGGCCCAGACUCCUACGGGAGGCAGCAGUAGGGAAUCUUCGGCAAUGGACGGAAGUCUGACCGAGCAACGCCGCGUGAGUGAAGAAGGUUUUCGGAUCGUAAAGCUCUGUUGUAAGAGAAGAACGAGUGUGAGAGUGGAGAGUUCACACUGUGACGGUAUCUUACCAGAAAGGGACGGCUAACUACGUG
rnacentral:rRNA from 1 species